UUACUUCCACGCCACAAAAAUAAGGAGGCUAGUGCUGUAAAUUUAACGUAGAGCAAAUCAGAUCAUAUUGUGAUAUAUGUCUCUUAAUUGCAGGUCCUGAGCAAGUUUGAGAUAAUUUUUGUAACACCAGAGGAGACCGGAAAAACGCCAUAAAUCGAACUUGGUCUUAAGUGUGUAAACGUGGUUGACACAACUCCAGCAAGUGUUCCAGUAUCAGUGUAGUGAAUGGAUGAACAAAUGAACGUGGCUUUGAAAACCAUAGAAAACAAAGACAAAAGAUCAGCACUUCACUUCAAGGGCUUCAUUUAACCCAGAAAGGCUUUGUCACCAGCCCCCAUGAAUAAUUCAUCCCGUCAGUUUGCAAUCGCAGAUGACAUGAGAAAGACACCAGAAACCCUUCUCAGAUAAACCGCUGGUAACCAGGCCUUUGGAGCGAGAGAUCGCCGCCAGUUUGGACGCCAGGAGAUGAUUGUCUCUCUCAAUGAUGAACAUCCUCUCUUCCUGCACCUGGAAACCACACAAACUCAUUUCAUACAUUUGAAUGCAUGAAUCUGAAAUGUUUUUAAAUGCAUCUAUAAAUUGACAUAUGAGUGCAUUGUAAUUAGUUGCAGAGAAAUAAAUGUGUAAUACAUUCUUGUUUAUAUAUGGA